rnacentral:rRNA from 1 species
AACGAACGCUGGCGGCAGGCCUAACACAUGCAAGUCGAGCGCGCCCUUCGGGGUGAGCGGCGGACGGGUGAGUAACGCGUGGGAACGUGCCCUUUGCUUCGGAAUAGCCUCGGGAAACUGAGAGUAAUACCGAAUGUGCCCUACGGGGAAAGAUUUAUCGGCAAAGGAUCGGCCCGCGUUGGAUUAGGUAGUUGGUGGGGUAAUGGCCUACCAAGCCGACGAUCCAUAGCCGGUUUGAGAGGAUGAUCAGCCACACUGGGACUGAGACACGGCCCAGACUCCUACGGGAGGCAGCAGUGGGGAAUAUUGGACAAUGGGCGGAAGCCUGAUCCAGCAACGCCGCGUGAGGGAUGACGGCCUUCGGGUUGUAAACCUCUUUCAGCACAGACGAAGCUCUUUGGGGUGAAGAUAAUGACUGUAGCCGGAGAAGAAGCCCCGGCUAACUUCGUGCCAGCAGCCGCCGUAAUAC